rnacentral:rRNA from 1 species
UACGUAGGGUGCAAGCGUUAAUCGGAAUUACUGGGCGUAAAGCGUGCGCAGGCGGUUGUGCAAGACAGAUGUGAAAUCCCCGGGCUCAACCUGGGAAUUGCAUUUGUGACUGCACGGCUAGAGUGUGUCAGAGGGGGGUAGAAUUCCACGUGUAGCAGUGAAAUGCGUAGAGAUGUGGAGGAAUACCGAUGGCGAAGGCAGCCCCCUGGGAUAACACUGACGCUCAUGCACGAAAGCGUGGGGAGCAACAG